GCCUCUGAACGCUAGGGGGUCGAUUCCUGGUGGAAACUCCGUAUUGUGUGUCAUGGGUAUGGGGCGAGGCCGCCUCAGUCUGCCAUCCUGUGCCACACCUGCAGGGUGGAUUUCACAUAUACGGGUGUGUUUCCCUGUUUCCCUCGCGAUAACCAUGGUGCGAGCGCUAUGGAAAUCCCUAAGUCUGCCUCCUCCACUGACUUCCAGUUUAUGUACAUCGGAUUUUGACCAUUCCAAGAUUUGUAGGAGGUGGCAAGCAGCGUAAUAUAAAUAGAAAUCUGGUAGCGCCAUACCCCCCUUGUCUUUCG